UCAUUAACUGAAUCCAUAGGUUAAUGAGGCGAACCGGGGGAACUGAAACAUCUAAGUACCCCGAGGAAAAGAAAUCAACCGAGAUUCCCCCAGUAGCGGCGAGCGAACGGGGAGGAGCCCAGAGCCUGAAUCAGCAUGUGUGUUAGUGGAAGCGUCUGGAAAGGCGCGCGAUACAGGGUGACAGCCCCGUACACAAAAGCGCAUGUGCUGUGAGCUCGAUGAGUAGGGCGGGACACGUGGUAUCCUGUCUGAAUAUGGGGGGACCAUCCUCCAAGGCUAAAUACUCCUGACUGACCGAUAGUGAACCAGUACCGUGAGGGAAAGGCGAAAAGAACCCCGGCGAGGGGAGUGAAAAAGAACCUGAAACCGU
rnacentral:rRNA from 6 species